UUCUCUGGGUGCUUUCUUCUUUCUUAGUUCCCCCUUUAUUGUGGGCCCUCCUCAGUGCCAACAUUGCUUUGUCUCUCGCUGGAGAAGCCUGUGAGAACGAGGAUGGGCAAAGUGUCAGGCUCUUGGUGCAGCUGAAAAUCCUUUGAGAUGGAAGAAAUGGCUGGAACAAAGGGGCAGAGGAACAAAAAGCCCUGAACUGCUUCGCCCCUGCCUCGUGGGGUCUUUAUCAUCUUAAACCUUGGGAUUUGGGCUUUGAUCAACUCGGCCUUCCUGGGCCUCGGGGAGAGAGACGGACUGCCUCCGGGUGCUCAUGACCUUUCCAGCAGUAAGCCAAUAAUGUAUGACUCCUGCGUUGCCGUUGCUCGUUUGAGGAACAUCUGUCCAGUCCCUGGGAUGGUGAGGCUAUAACCACAAAGGAAUAAGAGAAGACGACUAGUUUUGUAAUGGGCACAGUGGAUUGAAGAGGGGGGCAGUGCUGAGUCAUUCACGUGGUGUGUGAGGGCUCCUGUUUGUAAAUCAGGGAUUCUUGCAGCCUGCUUUUUCAGGGACAUUGGCUGCUGUCUUCUGACCCACCCUGUGUGGCUUUGGCGUCUCCUGUGACCUCCCAGUAUGGGUCUUGGCCUCAUCCUGCCUCUUUGUCUUUCUGGCCCACCACCCACAGCUUGAAUCUCAGGCUCCAACAGUUGCCUGACCCCCAGAUUCUGAUGACAGCCUACCUACUUGUUCUUCAGGCCCUCACCAGACUCACUGCCCAGACACACCACACAGGAGAACAUGAAAGGCUUUGAAUGAUGCAUUGGCCCACGUGGACCACCUUCCAUUUCCCAAGACUUUUUGAAGGCAAUGAAUGAGAAGAAAGCAGAGAAAACAGUGGGCGUGAGGUCAGAUGACUCAGGCUUGAGUACUGAUCACAUCAAGGAUUGGACGCACUGCUCUUAGGAAGGCACAACUUCUACUACUUUCAGUCUUAUCAACUGUGAGAGUGUACCCUUGCUGUAGAUGCCACCCGCCCAGCAGUCCUCAUCAUCUUGGCCCAGGAUCACCUGAAACAGAUGAUCCUCCUUUUGAGCUACCAUCAGAAGGUCCACAGUACUAGCCCAGCGCUACAUCCCAAUGCCUACGCCAUUCAUCUCACCUCAUCUCAUCACGUAGACAUUUCAUCAUGUCACAUCAUCACAAGAAGGGUGAGUAAGGUCCAGUGAGAUAUUUCGAGAGAGACAGAGACCAUAUUCACAUAACUAUUAUUACAAUAUAUUGUGGU
rnacentral:lncRNA from 1 species